GUCUGCCUCUUAGCACAUCUUCUCCAGAUACUAAAACAGAAGUUUAAUGCUUGUACUCCUGUUUGUUUGGCUUGCAAGUUUGGCUCUUCUGUUACAUUG